UCAUGCCCUUAACCUCAUUUAGAAAUACAGAAAUAUGAAUCCUGCUUCACCAAUCUUUAAAGUCCUACAAAUAUAACAAUCUAGAAUGUUUGUAAGGGGUUUCCACAACUUGACUUUUGAACCUUUAGAUUUUCAUUUAAAUGAGAACCAUGGACACAGCACAUCAGAAUCUUUAGUUAAGUUAGGCAUAAUCAUUGACAUGCUUUAAGUGUUUAACCAGUAAUCAGGUUCGACCAUGAAUUUUUUUAUCCAGAAAAACUUAGUAUCUCAUUUUACAUUUUGCAAGCCAUUAAAGUUCAACAAAAAGAGAAAACAUCAAAUUAGAGCCUGCUGCUUAAUCAAGGAGACAAAAGGUGAUAAAGGGCCUAAAAAGAAAGGGAAGUGUUGCUGGAAAUUGGACCCGGGGGCGGCCGUCGGCUGAGAAGGAGGAGCUCCGGCUUGAGAUGGCGGACGGCGGUCCGUCGGCGGUUGGCGUCCUCCGGAGAACCCACAAAAAGCCGGUGGCUGGGGUUUCCGGCGCCGGCCCUCCGAUGCCUAAGUCAGAGGGGGCAAAUGUAGAGGAGGAGAGGAAAUAUGUCUCAGGAGUUUUUAGGGUCCAACCCCCUCUAAGGAGGAGGGGUUUUCCUUUUAUAGAGGGAUACAGGUGUACCUGUGAUGUAACGGGGCGAACGGGUUACCGUCAUGAUUGAGCAUGUCGUCUGAAUUAAUGCAUGAUCGUGUGAAUUAUUGCAUUGCCGUAGGAGAUCAGGCCGGAGCCAGUGAGUCGUCGUGGCUGAUCGGACGUAGCCGAGUAAGUCAGCUGUUUGCCGUGAAGGACUUGAGAUCCGUAGAUAACAUGCGCAUUAAUUGUUGAGUGAGCCGGAGAUCUGCGGAGGCCAUGCGCAUUAAUUGUUGAGUGAGCCGGAGAUCUGCGGAGGCCAUACGCAUUAAUUGUUGACAGCGGUAGCAGGGCAUGGUCCCCGGUCGAGCUGCAGAAGGAUGUGACCGCAACAGAUAGGUAGCAAAGUCGGACUUCUGAGGUCGGGUUGCCCAGGUCGGGGGUCUCGGAAUCGGGUGUCUGGCCGGGGGCCGGGUCGAGAGCCCUGAGGUCGGGCUUUCAGUUAGGCAACUUGAAGUCGGACGCCUCCAGAUCCGACGCCCUUGGGUCAGACGCUUUCAGAUCGGGCGCCCUCAGUUUUGGCGCCUCUGGAGCCGGGCGUCUUCAGGUCGAGCGCCUCUGGAGCCGGGCAUCUUCAGGUCGGGCGCCUCCAGGUCGAGCGCCUUCAGUCACGUGCUGGAGAUCUGCUCACGUGCUUCAGGGCGAUUUAUUUUCCCCCAACACUACCCCCGACUUCCGAGUUCGAGCCGUUCACGAGCUCGGGCUCGGAAA
rnacentral:lncRNA from 1 species